CAUUCCAACCACAGCUCCUGUUCCCAGGCUGGGAUCACCGCUGCCUGCACAGGGAGAGGGGUCAGGACAGGCCUGAAACCCCGGUGGGAUGUCGGGGGGGAAAUGCGGCUGCUAAAGGCAGCCUCGCCAAAAGGUGAGGGGGCUUGUGCAGCGGGGCGGCCCUUCAUGGUGGAGCGCCAGGGGCACACGGUGGCCAGUGCCGGGCUGUGGGACUCCUCUGCAACCCCGCCGGACUGGGGUGAGCCAGGCACGGAGCCCAGUGCCCGCAGCCAUGAGCUGGGAUGGGAGGAGUAUCCUUUGGAAAGGCAGUGGCAGCCCGCAGCACCGGUAACACCUUCCGGGCACUCUCUCACCGCCUUGUGAGGAGAUGCACAACAAACCGAUCCGAGCCCGUGGGGCGGACGGAGCCGGCUUCCCCCGGGCAGGCGGAGCGAGGCCUGCCCGGCCCCGCCUCGGGCCGCGCUCCGCGGGCGGCGGCGCGGCGGCCCCUGCCGGCCGAGGGGCGCCAUGGCCCGUCCGCACAGUACGGCCGCGGGAGGGAAGGAUGGAUGGAGCGGGCGCCGAGGUGGGGCUGAGGAGCUGCCGAGAGGCCCCGGAGGCUCCCCUGGCCGGCGGCCAUAGGCAGCCCGGCCUGAGGCGCCGGGCAGCGGCAGCGAACUCGGCACAGACAAAAGGACUUGGAGGCGCUGCGAGGGCCCGGCUGGGCAGCCGCGCUCCCGCCCCCCCCCCGGCCCGCAGAUGGGCAAUGGAAAAGCUGAAGAUGGUGCAAAGCUCACAGGUGAAAGUAACAGAGUAACAUGACAUGACCUUGCUUCUGAGAGCUGUAGCUUCUGUAAGAACUGCUUAUUAAAAAAUUCUGUUAUUCCCUACA